rnacentral:rRNA from 1 species
AUUGAACGCUGGCGGCAUGCUUUACACAUGCAAGUCGAACGGUAACAGGCCUUCGGGUGCUGACGAGUGGCGAACGGGUGCGUAAUGCAUCGGAACGUGCCCAGAGGUGGGGGAUAACGCAGCGAAAGCUGUGCUAAUACCGCAUGUGAUCUGAGGAUGAAAGCGGGGGACCAGGCAGCAAUGUUUGGCCUCGCGCCUUUGGAGCGGCCGAUGUCAGAUUAGGUAGUUGGUGGGGUAAAGGCCUACCAAGCCGACGAUCUGUAGCUGGUCUGAGAGGACGACCAGCCACACUGGGACUGAGACACGGCCCAGACUCCUACGGGAGGCAGCAGUGGGGAAUUUUGGACAAUGGGGGCAAGCCUGAUCCAGCAAUGCCGCGUGCGGGAAGAAGGCCUUCGGGUUGUAAACCGCUUUUGUACGGAACGAAAAGGCUCUGGCUAAUACCUGGGGCUGAUGACGGUACCGUAAGAAUAAGCACCGGCUAACUACGUG